AAAUCUCAGGAAAUUUGAUUAUAAUGUAUUUAGGUGAAGAAAACAACAGAAGCGUUUAACAAUUAUUUCAACAACAACCCUGCAACAGCAACAUCUGGGGGGACAACAGCAGAUAAAAAGUGGGACCCAGAGGAUCUGAUAAAAAUGCCUCCACCAAAAUUUGUACCAAUCAAAAAACGAAAAUCUAAAAGAACAAUAGAUUUCAGCGCGAGCAGAAGCGCGCCGGUCACUCCAGUCGGCCGGUCACCAGCUAAGGACAUAAUACCUGAACUAGACGAGAAGGGGAGUGAUAGUGACACAGAGUUUGGAUUUGGUAGUAGAUGGUCUAAUGUUUAGGGUGGAUUUGGUAGUAGGUGGUUUAAUAUAUAGGUUGUAUUUGGUAGAAGAUGGUCUAAUUUUUAGUUUGGAUUUGGUAGUAGAUGGUCUAAUGUUUAGUUGGAUUUGGUAUUAGGUUUGUCUAAUUUUUAGUUGAAUUUGGUAGUAGAUGGUCUAAUUUUUAGUUGAAUUUGGUAGUAGAUUGUUUAAUGUUUAGUUGAAUUUGGUAGUAGAUGGUCUAAUGUUUAGGUUGGAUUUGGUAGUAGGUGGUCUAAUGUUUAUCUUUACUUGCCAGUAUUUUAAUACUUUUAAUAAUUACAUAAAAAAUAUGUUUUCAGGUCAAAUUCUGUACUAAUUUAUAUUAAGUAAAGGUUUUAAACGUCUAGAAUGUCUUAACCAGUGGCAGUAGUUAAAUUGCUCACAAAUUAUGGUAUCGAACUUGGAAUAUAAAUGAGAGGGUUUGCUGUUAGGAAAGUAUCUGCUAUUCCAUUGUUAAAUUUUGAAUGGUUAUUAGUGUACAAUCAGUAUUUAAUUAACCCUGAAAUAUGCAGUAGUAUUGUAAAAUUACAUUCCAAAAUCAUUCUAUGCAUUUAUUUCUGUUACUAUAAUGUAGAUGCAAUAUAUUUUAUGAAGUAUUUUUACCGCAUGUAGCUGUCUGCCCUGUGGAUGGUUUCUGUAACUUGACUACAGGGUGUCUCAAUAAACACACCAUGACUAAGUAAAUGGUUGAACUCGUCUUUUCUUAACUUUAUUUGAAAUAUAAUUUGACAUCGGAAAAAAGUCUAAAAGACAAGUUGAAUUGAUUUCCCAUGUUUAUUGAGACAUCUCGUAUAUAAAUGCUUAAUAUAGUUUUAACAUAGUUUUAAAAAUUUGAAAUUCAAGUUUUGUGCUAUAAAUAAGAUUACUCUUUUGCAGUGCUAUAUUUACAAUUAUAUUUAAGUUAACAACAUUUUUUACGAAUUUGGUUUUCUUAAAAUGUUUUUUUUUUACUAGAAAAUUUUAUUUUAAUAUUAUCUUUAGAAUUGCUCAGAAGUAAAUAAAUUCUUUCCUUCAUUUUGUUCCUUGGAAACUUUUAUUUUAAAGAAUAAUCAAAAAAAGACCUUUUUGAAUUUUUUUUGGUGGGGGGGGCCCCAUCCACUUAUUCCAACCAGAUUAUGUGAUUAACUUGUAUUUAUUCCGUCGCAAGUAAAAGUAGUAACCUCACAAUCAAACUAUUCAUGACAAAAUUUAUAAUUUUAUAUUGAUCCUUUUAAUGAUAAUUGCACUUGGCUCACCCGAGAUUUUUGAUAUUUUGUAAACUGUUGAGAAAGAUGGUGAAAUAGUUAGUAUUUGAACAGUAUAUAUAUAUAUAGUUAUAAUUUAUAUAUUUACACCUAGAAAAUAAACUAUUCUAACUUG